GAGUCAGCGGAACAACUUCGAGUCCGUGAGGAGACUUGUAGUCAAUGCACCGGGGGAAAAGGUCUCCCAGUCUCCGCUUGUGUUUCCAGGCGGUGGGGAUGGUUUCCUGCUGUUACAGCUUGGGAUGCAGUGGAGAGCAGCAUCAGGAUCUGAAUGGAGUCCUCCUGAGUUGGCUGACCAGGAGCUGGUGAAUCCUUUGCAGGCUGUGGUGUGGAGUGACCACAUCUGGAAGCUUCUCUCUCAUGUACCUCCAGAGGCUCGCUCCUCAGAUCUGUCACUCACCUGCCUACCUUCAUCUGACCCUCCCCUGCUGUCCUUCAGAGUCUUCUUUUGAUCACACCACCUGGAACUACCCACCACUGUCCUCUGGGUGUAGAAAUGGUGCCUGUUCUAAUCCACUGUCAACCAACCCACCGUCACAUGUCAUCCUAGCCCCAACGCCCAAUGCUUACUCUCAUGAAUAAACAGUGAAAAGAGUGAUUAUUAAGAG
rnacentral:lncRNA from 1 species